CCUACGGGAGGCAGCAGUGAGGAAUAUUGGUCAAUGGGAGAGAUCCUGAACCAGCCAAGCCGCGUGAGGGAAGACGGCCCUAUGGGUUGUAAACCUCUUUUGUCGGAGAACAAAACCCGGGACGUGUCCCGUACUGCGUGUCUCCGAAGAAAAAGCAUCGGCUAACUCCGUGCCAGCAGCCGCGGUAAUACGGAGGAUGCUAGCGUUAUCCGGAUUUAUUGGGUUUAAGGGGUGCGUAGGCGGUCCGUUAAGUCAGCGGUAAAAUUGCGGGGCUCAACCCCGUCGAGCCGUUGAAACUGGCAGACUUGAGUUGGCGAGAAGUACGCGGAAUGCGCGGUGUAGCGGUGAAAUGCAUAGAUAUCGCGCAGAACUCCGAUUGCGAAGGCAGCGUACCGGCGCCAGACUGACGCUGAGGCACGAAAGCGUGGGGAUCGAACAGGAUUAGAUACCCUAGUAGUC
rnacentral:rRNA from 1 species